AGGGUCUUUAUUUUGAACUCACCCCUAAAUGAGCUGUCCCCUCUUUCCUGGUAGCUUAUUAUUAGAACUGGGUCACAUGAGGCAUUUGGGACUGCGUCUCAGUUGCGUUGACCGACAUUUCUUUCACAGGGAAAGCUCUAUGCUGGCAGGCGCGGCAGUAUAGCUUAUGUGGGGAGGGGAGUAGUGUUUUCUUUGCAUAAGAUUUGCUUAACGCAGAAUUUUCAUUUUUGUGGCUGUUCUCCGUUCUAUCAGGGAUGUAGCGCUGAGCUAAUCCAGGGAGACGUCAAGGCGUGUGCCGUAUUUAGAGACAGCCACCUGCUUGGAACAUCAAGCAGCAGCAAAGAGCACGCUUCAGCAAAAAACCUCCCCUGUGGAUUCUGCAACAGCGGCUUCCCGCCGGCUCUCCCUUGCCUAAAUCUGCCUGUGGCCACCAAAGGGGUCAGCGCCUGAAGACAGUCAGUCAGGCCCUGUCAGCCCUGGAAUGCUCUGAGCCUGGCACUCCCUCUGCCCAGGAACUGCCAGAUAUUUUGGACAGCUGCAAGGUGGAAUUCAAUCACGUGGGUGAAGAGUGGCCUAAUCUCUACAUAGGCGAUAUAACUUGUCUCAAAGCGUGGUGGGCACUGGACUCUACAAGCAAUAAUACAUUACAAGGCAACAAAGUACCUUGAGUUGCUUUUUGUAGUGAGCUUUUGUACACGGUUCUCCACAGCUCCGUAGCCCAUAACAAGGAAGAUCUGAAGAGGCUUGGUGUCACCCAUGCACUGAAUGCAGCACAUUUUGCAUGGGGAAGCAAAGGACACCAAACUUUCCACGGCCAAGAAAUGCAUUAUUAUGGGAUACCUGCAGAGGACUUGAUGGACUUUCACCUCAGUGCACAUUUCUGUACCGCCUCUGAGUGCGUUCACAAGGCCAAAUGGCAAUGCUAUCCAAAGAGUUAUCCAGUAGUGAGCAAUUUCAUCAAGCUGCAGGAUUUACAUAUUGAACUGAGAUACAGUAUACACCUAUGUAAACUCUAAACGCUUAUGAAAUAAAAAAAAUCAAAGUGACAGGGAGAAAUGUCAGACAGACAAUCUGAGCAUAAGAUAAAGAUGAAAGGAACAUUACCUAAAGCUUUGGCAUCAAACCUAUCUUU
rnacentral:lncRNA from 1 species